rnacentral:rRNA from 1 species
AGCGUACACGGUGGAUGCCCUGGCAGUCAGAGGCGAUGAAGGACGUGCUAAUCUGCGAAAAGCGCCGGCGAGGUGAUAUGAACCCUUGACCCGGCGAUGUCCGAAUGGGGAAACCCAGUGCAAUCCGUUGCACUAUCGUUAACUGAAUACAUAGGUUAACGAGGCGAACCGGGGGAACUGAAACAUCUAAGUACCCCGAGGAAAAGAAAUCAACCGAGAUUCCCCCAGUAGCGGCGAGCGAACGGGGAGCAGCCCAGAGUCUGAAUCAGCUUGUGUGUUAGUGGAAGCGUCUGGAAAGUCGCACGGUACAGGGUGAAAGUCCCGUACACGAAAAUGCACAGGCUGUGAACUCGAAGAGUAGGGCGGGACACGUGGUAUCCUGUCUGAAUAUGGGGGGACCAUCCUCCAAGGCUAAAUACUCCUGACUGACCGAUAGUGAACCAGUACCGUGAGGGAAAGGCGAAAAGAACCCCGGCGAGGGGAGUGAAAAAGAACCUGAAACCGUGUACGUACAAGCAGUGGGAGCACCUUCGUGGUGUGACUGCGUACCUUUUGUAUAAUGGGUCAGCGACUUAUAUUCUGUAGCAAGGUUAACCGUAUAGGGGAGCCGAAGGGAAACCGAGUCUUAACUGGGCGUUAAGUUGCAGGGUAUAGACCCGAAACCCGGUGAUCUAGCCAUGGGCAGGUUGAAGGUUGGGUAACACUAACUGGAGGACCGAACCGACUAAUGUUGAAAAAUUAGCGGAUGACCUGUGGCUGGGGGUGAAAGGCCAAUCAAACCGGGAGAUAGCUGGUUCUCCCCGAAAGCUAUUUAGGUAGCGCCUCGUGAACUCAUCUUCGGGGGUAGAGCACUGUUUCGGCUAGGGGGCCAUCCCGGCUUACCAACCCGAUGCAAACUACGAAUACCGAAGAAUGUUAUCACGGGAGACACACGGCGGGUGCUAACGUCCGUCGUGAAGAGGGAAACAACCCAGACCGCCAGCUAAGGUCCCAAAGUCAUGGUUAAGUGGGAAACGAUGUGGGAAGGCCCAGACAGCCAGGAUGUUGGCUUAGAAGCAGCCAUCAUUUAAAGAAAGCGUAAUAGCUCACUGGUCGAGUCGGCCUGCGCGGAAGAUGUAACGGGGCUAAACCAUGCACCGAAGCUGCGGCAGCGACGCUUAUGCGUUGUUGGGUAGGGGAGCGUUCUGUAAGCCGUUGAAGGUGGCCUGUGAGGGUUGCUGGAGGUAUCAGAAGUGCGAAUGCUGACAUAAGUAACGAUAAAGCGGGUGAAAAGCCCGCUCGCCGGAAGACCAAGGGUUCCUGUCCAACGUUAAUCGGGGCAGGGUGAGUCGACCCCUAAGGCGAGGCCGAAAGGCGUAGUCGAUGGGAAACAGGUUAAUAUUCCUGUACUUGGUGUUACUGCGAAGGGGGGACGGAGAAGGCUAUGUUAGCCGGGCGACGGUUGUCCCGGUUUAAGCAUGUAGGCGGAGGUUCCAGGUAAAUCCGGUACCUUUUAACGCUGAGGUGUGAUGACGAGGCACUACGGUGCUGAAGUAACAAAUGCCCUGCUUCCAGGAAAAGCCUCUAAGCAUCAGGUAACACGAAAUCGUACCCCAAACCGACACAGGUGGUCAGGUAGAGAAUACCAAGGCGCUUGAGAGAACUCGGGUGAAGGAACUAGGCAAAAUGGUGCCGUAACUUCGGGAGAAGGCACGCUGAUAUGUAGGUGAAGCCCCUGCGGGUGGAGCUGAAAUCAGUCGAAGAUACCAGCUGGCUGCAACUGUUUAUUAAAAACACAGCACUGUGCAAACACGAAAGUGGACGUAUACGGUGUGACGCCUGCCCGGUGCCGGAAGGUUAAUUGAUGGGGUUAGCGGUAACGCGAAGCUCUUGAUCGAAGCCCCGGUAAACGGCGGCCGUAACUAUAACGGUCCUAAGGUAGCGAAAUUCCUUGUCGGGUAAGUUCCGACCUGCACGAAUGGCGUAAUGAUGGCCAGGCUGUCUCCACCCGAGACUCAGUGAAAUUGAACUCGCUGUGAAGAUGCAGUGUACCCGCGGCAAGACGGAAAGACCCCGUGAACCUUUACUAUAGCUUGACACUGAACACUGGUCCUUGAUGUGUAGGAUAGGUGGGAGGCUUUGAAGCGUGGACGCCAGUCUGCGUGGAGCCAUCCUUGAAAUACCACCCUUUAAUGGCUGGUGUUCUAACGUAGACCCGUAAUCCGGGUUGCGGACAGUGUCUGGUGGGUAGUUUGACUGGGGCGGUCUCCUCCCAAAGAGUAACGGAGGAGCACGAAGGUUAGCUAAUCCUGGUCGGACAUCAGGAGGUUAGUGCAAUGGCAUAAGCUAGCUUGACUGCGAGAGUGACGGCUCGAGCAGGUGCGAAAGCAGGUCAUAGUGAUCCGGUGGUUCUGAAUGGAAGGGCCAUCGCUCAACGGAUAAAAGGUACUCCGGGGAUAACAGGCUGAUACCGCCCAAGAGUUCAUAUCGACGGCGGUGUUUGGCACCUCGAUGUCGGCUCAUCACAUCCUGGGGCUGAAGUAGGUCCCAAGGGUAUGGCUGUUCGCCAUUUAAAGUGGUACGCGAGCUGGGUUUAGAACGUCGUGAGACAGUUCGGUCCCUAUCUGCCGUGGGCGCUGGAGAAUUGAGGGGGGCUGCUCCUAGUACGAGAGGACCGGAGUGGACGCAUCACUGGUGUUCGGGUUGUCAUGCCAAUGGCACUGCCCGGUAGCUAAAUGCGGAAGAGAUAAGUGCUGAAAGCAUCUAAGCACGAAACUUGCCCCGAGAUGAGUUCU